GGCUUCCCAAGCAAGUGCCUGCCUCUCUCUCUUAUCUCCCAACAAAGCUCCAAGAGGCACGGCCUGAAGCCAGCGAUGUUAAACAAUGACGCAUGGCUGAUUUUAUUUGUAACAAGGAUUCUCAUCUCAAUCUAAGGACACAAGGAACUGAUACUUCAAGUAAGAGCUGAUGAUGUAGUGGUGAGCACUUUCAACAAAGGUUCUGUGGUGGUUGACUGUUCAGUAUUUCCAUCAUCUGUCCUGUGCUGGUUGCAUUUUUUUUUUUUUUUUAAUAUUUGGAACCUGUGUUGCUCAACCCAUUUCUACAUUCUCCAAGUCUGGACAUGCAUGAUAUUCACACUGGCCUGAGGGGAAGACUGCCUCUUGAUAUUGGGUUCUCCUGGAGCACCUUACCACCAACACGUGAGAAAAUGCCCAAGACCCAUCCAUCAAAGUCUCACUGCAGUAAAAGUGUAACUGACAAGAAAAUUAGUCAUUCUGCAAAUUUCAGUUCUUGAGAAAGUGCUGUCAAAUCAGGUGAGAAAUGACUCAACAGGCUACUUGGCUGAUGAAACCCAUCGGAGAAGAAAGGGAUCAGUUGGAAUGAUUGAUGUCUGAGAGUUCUGGGUGUUCCUGCCAAUGGCUUGAUUUCUGGGAGGAAGGAGUCAGCGACAUUUGGAUGGUUUCCCUUUCACAGGCUUCACUCAUCCCAAAGAUCUAUGGUAGAAGCUAAACAUGUACUUUAGACUGUAAUCACAGCAGUGACCACUGGGACUCAUCUGUUGACAUUUCAUAUUCAUGAAGUGUUGACUAAGAGGAAGACAAUUAGAGAUGUUCAGCACCUGAAAAUGCCUUGAGUCCAGUUUAUGGCAAAGCCUCAAAGAGGAGAUGAUUAAAUAGGAAUACAUGUGGACUUCUAGCUCUAUCAUCAGCUUGCUACGUGAAAAAUUAUUAAAUAAAAUACACUCUAAGUAUUAUCU
ensembl:antisense A930019D19Rik RIKEN cDNA A930019D19 gene